rnacentral:rRNA from 1 species
UACGUAGGUGGCAAGCGUUGUUCGGAUUUACUGGGCGUAAAGGGCGCGUAGGCGGCCACCGCAAGUCGACUGUGAAAUCUCCGGGCUUAACCCGGAAAGGUCAGCCGAUACUGCGGGGCUAGAGUGCAGAAGGGGCAACUGGAAUUCUCGGUGUAGCGGUGAAAUGCGUAGAUAUCGAGAGGAACACCUGCGGCGAAGGCGGGUUGCUGGGCUGACACUGACGCUGAAGCGCGAAAGCUAGGGGAGCGAACGGG